rnacentral:SRP_RNA from 1 species
UCGUGCUAGGUGGGGCGCUAGCGGUGCCCUGUAACCCGCAAUCCGCUCCAGCGGGGCUGAAUUCCCUUUUCGAGGGGUGGACGUCCGCGGACAGCAUCCUGCGUGUGGCGGUGAUGGUCUGGUCCCAAUGCGAUGGAGACCCGUGAACCAGGUCAGGUCCGGAAGGAAGCAGCCUUAAGCGGUCACCUCCAGGCGCACCGGGGGUGCCGGAUCGGAGUCACCCACAGGACCGCCCCGCGGGCCGACACAACAAGGAGGGGUGCACGA